AUUGAACGCUGGCGGCAUGCCUUAACACAUGCAAGUCGAGCGGGGUGAUGGUGCUUGCACUAUCACUUAGCGGCGGACGGGUGAGUAAUGCUUAGGAAUCUGCCUAUUAGUGGGGGACAACAUCCCGAAAGGGAUGCUAAUACCGCAUACGUCCUACGGGAGAAAGCAGGGGAUCACUUGUGACCUUGCGCUAAUAGAUGAGCCUAAGUCGGAUUAGCUAGUUGGUGGGGUAAAGGCCUACCAAGGCGACGAUCUGUAGCGGGUCUGAGAGGAUGAUCCGCCACACUGGGACUGAGACACGGCCCAGACUCCUACGGGAGGCAGCAGUGGGGAAUAUUGGACAAUGGGGGGAACCCUGAUCCAGCCAUGCCGCGUGUGUGAAGAAGGCCUUAUGGUUGUAAAGCACUUUAAGCGAGGAGGAGGCUCUUUUGGUUAAUACCCAAGAUGAGUGGACGUUACUCGCAGAAUAAGCACCGGCUAACUCUGUGCCAGCCGCCGCCGUAA
rnacentral:rRNA from 1 species